rnacentral:rRNA from 1 species
AUACGUAGGUCCCGAACGUUGCGCGAAAUUACUGGGCGUAAAGGGUCCGUAGGCGGUCUGGUAAGUGGAAGGUGAAAGCCUGGGGCUCAACUCCAGAACUGCCUUCCAAACUGCCGGACUUGAGGCAGGGAGAGGUCGGCGGAAUUCCCGGUGUAGUGGUGAAAUGCGUAGAUAUCGGGAGGAACACCAGUGGCGAAGGCGGCCGACUGGAACUGUCCUGACGCUGAGGGACGAAAGCCAGGGGAGCGAACCGGAUUAGAAACCCUAGUAGUCC